AACGCACAUUGCGCCCCUUGGUAUUCCGAGGGGCACGCCUGUUCGAGCGUCAUUUAAACCAUCAAGCCCUGCUUGGUCUUGGACGCGGUCGAGUGACCCGUCCGUAACCCGUUGGCGGUGCAGUCCGGCUCCAAGCGUAGCAAGAAUUUCGCUUCAGGAGUCCGUGGCGGCGUCUGCCAGGAAACACCACCCAAAGUUUGACCUCGGAUCAGGUGAGGAUACCCGCUGAACUUAA
rnacentral:misc_RNA from 1 species